CACCCUUGCCCUCGGCCUCGUGCUGCCCAUGCCGCUAGCAUGCACCUGCCCCUCCCGUUCUGCUGUAGAAGCUCUCACCGGCGUGCUUAUUCGCAGCUACCGUGGAACCGCCAUAACUCGGCUAUAAAAGGCUGCCUAGAGCCCUCUAAGCAUUUGAAAAACCCCCUCAGACUCGCAGCUCUCUUCCCCUUGCACCAAUUUGGCCUGAGCCGACUCUCCCAUCAGCCAUGGCCGCAACGCCAUGGCCGGCCUCCGGCAAAAUUCUGGCAGCCCCGAGCAAAGUCGUUCUCCUCUAGCCCCUGCUAGCUCCUCCGCAGCCCCGCCGAACCCAUUCCCCCUGUGAAAUCCAUCGAUGGCGGUGUAGUAAUUAACCUAGUUGUAGUAGAGUCCUAGAUAGUUUAGUAUUAAGUUUACAAAGCCUGAUUAGGAAACGAUCACGUGUAUAAACCAGCAACGUACCUGUACGUAUAAUCCGGAGUUGCGUCCUGUUGGUUGCUGACUCGGACGGCAACGCGUUGGACGCGGCAACGAUGUAUCUCUGUAUAUAGCAAUCAAAGACAAACAAACGGUGCAAGUUGAAGCACCACCAAAACCAGUUUUGUUCCUAUUGAUUCGUUCGCUACAGCACGAGAGUUUCCGCCGAGAGUUUCCGCUAGAUCGAUCAAGCAUAGCGUGCAACUAGCUAGCAAGAAGAUCCAUCCACCUGUGUGCGUGCUAGCUUCACAAGCUAGCUUUGCACGUAGGAGUGUUGGAGUGCUGCUGCCUGCUGAUUUGAUCUAUGGUUCAAAAGCCAACAAUUGGUAUCAGAGCCUCGAUGAUCUACGAUCUACGAUGACGGACAGCGACGCUGAUUCGGUCAAGUCCGGCAGCGGCGGUGCCAAGCCGAACAAGAAGGGCGACAAGGUGAAGAAGGGCGUCAAGUCAGCAACCAGUGGUGGAGGAAUGAGCGGCGCCAACGUCCAGGCGCAUCGCAACAUCCCCAUCCAGUACCCGAUGCUCACGACGCCAACUAUGGCGUGUGGGCGGUGAAGAUGAAGAUUAUUCUUCGAUCCCUUCGAGUGUGGGAGGCCAUCACGGACGACGACGUCGACGAGGAGCGCGACGAAGGUGCCAUGGCCGCCAUGGCCCAGUCUGUGCCGGAUUUCGUGCUGAUGACAUUGGCGGAGUUCGAGACGGCAAGAGAGGCGUGGAACGCACUCAAGGAGAUGAGGAUCGGAGAAGAUCGCUUCACCAAGGCACGGGCACAAGUGCUGAAGCGCCAAUUUCACAAGUUGCAGAUGGAGGAAACUGAAUCGGUGAACGACUACGCCAUGCGUCAUACUACUCUGGUGGGAGAGAUCCGCGCGCUUGGUGCAAAGCUCGAUGAGACCGAGAUCGUGGAGAAGUUUUUCAGUUUAGUCACUGAUAAAUUCACGUACAUCAUCGGCACGCUCGAGCAGCUUUACGACAUCGAUGACAUGACCAUAACGGAGGCGAUCGGACGAUUGCGGACAUGGGAAGAGAAUGCUCGUGGCUGUCGGAAAGGCAAAGGAGGAGGUAGUGACCAACUCAUGUACUCGCGCGCAGAUUGGGAGGCCCCAAGUAGCAAAGGAAGGCGUGACAGUGGCGAAGGCUCAAGCAACACGAAGGGCGAUGGACAAACCGGAAAAGGCAAACCACAAGGUCGUGGUAAGGCGGGCCAAUCUAAAGAGAAGAAACCACGGAACUUGGACUUGUCCGAGGUCAAGUGCUAUAACUGCAAUAAGAUGGGUCACUUUGCGAAGGAUUGUCCAAAGCCUAACAAGCGGGAGAUCAAGGCAAAUUUGGCAAAGCAGGAAGACGAAGGUCCAGGUCUUCUGAUGGCCGAAGUUUGUGAUCUCGCUGAAACGGUGGUUGUGAAACCAAGCCGGAAGGUGCUACUUCAUGAGGAAAAAGUGACACCAAAGUUAUCCGGUGAUCAGAACAUGUCGUAGUAUCUCGACACAGGUGCCAGUAACCACAUGACGGGGUGCAAGGAGAAAUUCCUCGAGCUGGAAUACGAUGUUGAAGGCUCGGUCAAGUUCGGUGAUGGUUCAGCUGUGGAGAUUUGCGGGCAAGGAUCUGUCCUCUUUGAGGGUCUCACAGGCGCACAUCGCAUACUCACCGGAGUGUACUACAUCCCACGGCUGUGCAACAACAUCAUCUCUAUUGGGAAGCUUGACGAGAAUGGAUGCAAGGUGAAUAUUGAGAGCGGAGUGAUGACGAUCUUCGACAACCUCCGAAACGUGCUAGCUCGUGUUAAUCGCACACGGAAUAGGCUCUAUAUCCUCAACCUUGAUCAAUCUCAACCGGAGUGUUGGCUUGCCAAGAGUGAUGAUGAUUCGUGGUUAUGGCAUGCUAGAUUUGGACAUGUUAACUUCUACGCCUUGAAGAAGAUGUCAAAGAUCGAGAUGGUAUCCGGGAUGCCAGUUAUCGACCAUGUUGAUCGAGUAUGUGACGGGUGCUUGGUUGGAAAACAGCACCGCAGGCCAUUCCCUGCUCAGUCUACCUAUCGUGCAAGUGAUGCACUCGAGCUGCUCCAUGGUGAUCUAUGUGGUCCUAUCACCCCGGCAACUCACGCUGGAAAGAAGUAUUUCUUCCUUGUGGUAGACGACUACUCGAGGUAUAUGUGGGUCGUUCUCCUACAGUCUAAAGAUGAGGUGUUUGAAGCGUUCAAGAAGUUGAAGGCUGCAACGGAGAUGGAACACAAGCUGAAGGUUCGCGCUCUACGGACAGAUCGCGGCGGAGAGUUUACGUCGAAUGAGUUCAACAACUACUGCGAGAAGAUUGGCAUAAAGAGGUUCCUCACGGCACCUUACACACCACAGCAGAAUGGGGUCGUUGAAAGGCGCAAUCGAACCGUCGUUGACAUGGCAAGGAGUUUACUCAAGAGCAAGAACCUGUUGGGGAUUUUUUGGGGAGAAGCUGUCUCGACGGCGGUCUAUCUUCUCAACCGGGCUCCAACGAAGGCGGUGAUCGGCAAGACUCCGUAUGAAGCAAUUUACGGACGUAAGCCGAAUGUGUCUCAUCUACGGACGUUCGGGUGCGUGGCACAUGUGAAGACGGCGGAGCCACAUCUCUCAAAGCUUGCCGAUCGUAGCACCAAGAUGGUGUUCAUCGGAUACGAGAGCAGUUCUGGCACCAAGGCAUACCGUUUCUACGAUCCACAAACCAAGCGUCUACGGAUUUCACGCGACGUCGUGUUUGAAGAAAACAAAGCGUGGAAUUGGAGUGCAGCAGCCAACGGUACUCCAAACGGUAACAUAUUCACGGUUGAAUUUCCAACUGAUGAUGAUGCAGGGGAGGAUGUCCAGGUGGUUGGCAAGACGCCCAACCAUGGUGACCACAAUGGUAGUGAUCAUCAUGGUGCCGACACCGACGACGACGCGCAUAGGUCGCAAGGAGAUAGCGACAACGCUGCGCACGACAGAGGCGGAGAUCUCGACGACAACAUCGACGAGGCGCAUAGUGACGACGACAAUCAAGAUGAUGGUCACGGUCAUGAUGACUACGCCGACGACACGGAUGUCGAUGACACACCAGGGUCUCAGCCGUCUUCCUCAAGUGCAUCAACACCGACACAAUUUGUGUCGCCUCCUUCGCAAGCCACAACGGACUCCUCAGGGCCUCAUCGCUACAAGACCCUCAAGAAAGUCUACAAGUACACAAAGCCAGUUACGCUCGAGUACUCCGGACUAUGUCUGUUCGGAGUUGAGGAGCCGGCGAACUUCGUAGAGGCGAGCAAAAGCCGUAGUUGGACGCACGCCAUGGAUGAGGAGAUGAAGGCGAUUGAGAGCAAUGGCACGUGGACUUUGGUAACCCGCCCUCUAAACCAAAAGGCGGUAGGUUUGAAGUGGGUUUACAAGUUAAAGAAGGACACACAGGGUGCCAUUGUGAAGUACAAGGCAAGACUCGUUGCAAAGGGCUACGUUCAACGCCAAGGAGUUGACUAUGAUGAGGUGUUUGCACCAGUUGCUCGAAUCGAGACGGUGAGAGUGCUCCUAGCUUUGGCAGCACAAGAGGAUUGGAAGGUUCAUCAUAUGGAUGUUAAAUCCGCUUUCCUCAACGGCGAUCUCACAGAAGAAGUGUACGUGGAACAACCCCUCGGCUACGAGAAGAAAGACGAAGAAGGGAAAGUUUACAAGCUCAAGAAGGCACUUUACGGGUUGAAGCAAGCACCACGAGCUUGGAACUCAAAGUUAGACCAAAGUCUGGUCUCGCUCGGGUUCAAGAGAUGUCCCCUCGAGCACGCAGUCUAUACAAAGAACUCCAAAGGCUCAAACCUGCUAGUUGGAGUUUAUGUCGACGAUCUGAUUAUCACCGGAGAUAGCGUACAAGAAAUAGAACGUUUCAAGGCGCAAAUGAAGAACAAGUUUAGCAUGAGUGAUCUGGGAUUACUCAGCUAUUACUUGGGCAUCAAAGUGAAGCAAAGCUCCGGAGAGAUUUCCCUAUGUCAAUCGGCUUACGCGGUCAAGUUAUUGGACAAGUGUGGCAUGUCAGAUUGCUACGCGACACAAGUUCCAAUGGACCAACGUCACAAGUUGAGCAAGCGUAGCUCAAAUCCACCGGUAGACACCACAAUGUAUCGAAGCGUUGUGGGCAGCCUGAGAUAUUUGGUGCAUACCCGACCUGACUUGGCGUAUUCAGUCGGGAUCGUGAGUCGUUUCAUGGAGAAUCCGACAACCGAACACAUGAGCGCGGUCAAUCAAAUUCUACGCUAUGUGAAAGGCACCAUUAAUCUUGGUUGCACGUACAAAAAGGGAAAGGAAGGAUUGAUCCUUCGUGGAUAUUCAGAUAGCGACAUGGCAUGUGAUGUUGAUGACCGAAAGAGCACAACGGGCAUGGUUUUCUACCUUGGCCCAAAUCCGAUUAGCUGGAGUUCUCAGAAGCAAAAGGUGGUGGCACUGUCUUCAUGCGAGGCAGAAUACAUAGCGGCAAGCACGGCGGCUUAUCAAGCAGUGUGGCUGAGAAGACUCCUAGCUAUUCUUGCAAAGCGGGAGGUGCAGAAGGUGUCAUUGAAGAUUGAAAACCAAGCUGCAAUCUCAUUGUGCAAAAAUCCAGUUCAUCACGAAAGGAGCAAGCACAUAGAUACCCGGUUCCAUCACAUCCGAGAGUGCAUUGAGGACGGGAUGAUCGAAGUUCAGCACCUGAAUAUGAAGGACCAGCUUACCGAUAUUUUCACCAAGUCCCUCGGUCGACAGAAGUUCAUCGAGAUGAGGAAGAAAGUCGGAGUGCAAGCAAUGGAGACAAAGCAACCAGGUUAAGGAGGUGAAUGUAGUAAUUAACCUAGUUGUAGUAGAGUCCUAGAUAGUUUAGUAUUAAGUUUACAACGCCUGUUUAGGAAACGAUCACGUGUAUAAACUGGCAACGUACCUGUACGUAUAAUCCGGAGUUGCGUCGUGUUGUUUGCCGACUCGGACGGCAACGCGUUGGACGCGGCAACGAUGUAUCUCUUUAUAUAGAAAUCAAAGACAAACAAACGGUGCAAGUUGAAGCACCACCAAAACCAGUUUUGUUCCUGUUGAUUCGUUCGCUACAGCACGAGAGUUUCCACCGAGAGUUUCCGCUAGAUCGAUCAAGCAUAGCGUGCAACUAGCUAGCAAGAAGAUCCAUCCACCUGUGUGCGUGCUAGCUUCACAAGCUAGCUUUGCACAUAGGAGUGUUGGAGUGCUGCUGCCUGCUGAUUUGAUCUACGGUUCAAAAGCCAACAGGCGGGCCGUGGUGGAUAAGUCGGUGCGCCGGAGCUCUCUAUCCGCCAUGACUAGGACUCUGCUCGCCGUCGAGCUACCCUGCUACCCGCAUGCCCCCUAGGUGAUGGCCCCCUCCAUCUCGAGCACCCCAACGUGCUUAGCUCCGAGGAUGGUGCCCCCUUGCAUCGGUAACCCCCGCCGGCAUCCUCUGGGUCUUGCCUGUCGGUGAGUCAGCCUCGUAUGCCAUGUUGGCCUGGACGACCUUGGAGGAAGGUUGUCAGGGUGGAUAUGAGACUAUGGGGAUGACACCUCGUGGGACGAGAGUGGUAAGUGAAGGCAUGUCGGGGUGUGAUGGUAGUAACACUUAGAUAAUUCUUUCAGCAAGCUUGUGUGGUACUAACCUUGCAGGAAAUCUAAAACCUCCUAAGAAGACCAUAGAUCGAGUCUUGUCUAUGUGUCACCUUACCUUUUGUGCUGCCAUAGGUCUUUCCGAAAGGGAACGCGGUCUAGUAGGUUGUAAACCUAUUACCAGGUACACACCAAGUAGAGAGGCCGAGAUGAAGGUAUCCAUGGCCCUGGACUAAAUCCAGUCAUCCGGUCAGGGGGCAUGGGUGUUUUCGGUCUGGGACCAAGAGGGAAUGGCCAUUCCCUUGUAGCGCACGGUAUUAAUUUGAUCCCAUGCAAAUCGAGGCUGGAGCCUCCCCGUCUUAUGGUUUUUCCCUUGCAGCGUAUCCCGGGUGAGGCCGGUCUUCGCGGGGGGGAAAUGGGUGUGUACUGGUUGUGAGUGUUUACCUCUCACAUACCGUAUGUGAGAUUAGUCCGAGUGACUAUUGAAACCCGUGGGCUGUAGGUAAAGAGUACACCCUCUAAACAGUCAAAACUAUUCGAGUAGCCAUGUCCACAAUCUAGGACGACUGGUUGACUAGUCAAGUGCCGUUGUGAGUGUCGAUCGUUGGAGGAAGUUAAAGAAAUCGUCAGACUAAUCAUGAAAUAUGGUGGAUGAUCAUACUAUUAUUUUUACUUUGGACUAACCCCUAUGAUUGUGAUUGUUGGAUAUCCCUGGGACGGUUCUACCUCCUGGAUAUUCAAUAUUUACUAUUCUUUCAUAUAAUCCCUUUCUGUGGUGUCGCUUAGACGCCCGACUCUGGCAACUGUUUUUUCUUUUUUAUAAGCCCUUUCUAUGGUGUCGCUUAGACGCCCGAUUAUGGCAACUGUUAUUUCUUUCAUAUAAGCCCUUUCUGUGGUGUCGCUUAGACGCCCCACUGUGGAAACUGUUAUUACUUGCAUGUGAGCCCUUUAGGCGGCGUCGCUCCGACGGCCGACUACGGCACACAUGCUAUUACUUAUUCAUUGUUACCCUCCCUUGCUUGUUUAUACAACAUUGGUGGAAAUAGUUUAUAUGCAUGAAUGCAUCCAUGUAUUAAUUCUUAUGGCAUGAUAGAGUUAUUAAGUGGAUUGUGCAUGCAUCUCACCUGCUUUAACUUCUCUAUUUUUGUGAUGUUUGUGAGUACAUUCAAUGUACUCACUGGCUUGUCCCUCGCUAUUGUCUUGGCCAGAUUGUGCUCGGAGAGGAGCCCGAUGUCGUCAACCAUGGAACCUAGUAGUCCAGGAUAGCUUCCUUGUGGUAUAGGAUUUUAUCCAGGUCGUCUAUUCCUGUGGGAAUAGUCCCAUUGGCACUGGAGAUAACUCGGGUCGCUUCCACCGUCAGCCUCAAACUUUUGUCCAAACGAGUAGACCUUCAUCGUCUUGUAACCCAGAAUUUGUAUUUUUUCUUGGAUUUUCUGUAUCAAGUGAGUGUCCCCUAGCUAACAGUAGUCCUGGGGCUGAUGAACACAAAGAACUGAUUUCUGGAAAUUAUUUUCUGAAAAAACGGUUGCUACAUUCAUUCGGGUUCGUUACUUUGAUAAUUUGAUAUGUGGGUGGACCGGUGCUAAGGUGUUGUUGUCACUUGAACAAGCGACCCACUUAUGGUUACCCCCUCUCGCAAGCAUCCACAACUACGAGAGAAGAGUUAACAUAAAUCUAACCAUAGCAUGAAAUGUGUGGAUCCAAGUCACCCCUUAUGAAG
rnacentral:lncRNA from 1 species